UGGGGGAUAUUGCACAAUGGAGGAAACUCUGAUGCAGCAACGCCGCGUGAAGGAUGAAGGUCUUCGGAUUGUAAACUUUUGUACUUGGGGACGAUAAUGACGGUACCCAAGCAGCAAGCUCCGGCUAACUACGUGCCAGCAGCCGCGGUAAUACGUAGGGAGCAAGCGUUGUCCGGAUUUACUGGGUGUAAAGGGUGCGUAGGCGGCUAUGCAAGUCAGUUGUGAAACUAUGGGCUCAACCCAUAGCCUGCAAUUGAAACUGCGUGGCUUGAGUGAAGUAGAGGUAGGUGGAAUUCCCGGUGUAGCGGUGAAAUGCGUAGAGAUCGGGAGGAACACCAGUGGCGAAGGCGAC
rnacentral:rRNA from 1 species